rnacentral:misc_RNA from 1 species
GAUGAAGAACGUAGCGAAAUGCGAUAAGUAGUGUGAAUUGCAGAAUUCAGUGAAUCAUCGAAUCUUUGAACGCACAUUGCGCCCCUUGGUAUUCCAUGGGGCAUGUCUGUUCGAGCGUCAUUUGUACCUUCAAGCCUUGCUUGGUGUUGGGUGUUUGUCUCGCCUCUGCGCGCAGACUCGCCUCAAAACAAUUGGCAGCCGGCGUAUUGAUUUCGGAGCGCAGUACAUCUCGCGCUUUGCACUCAGAACGACGACGUCCAAAAGUACAUUUUUACACUCUUGACCUCGGAUCAGGUAGGGAUACCCGCUGAACUUAAGCAUAUCAAUAAGCGGAGGA